rnacentral:tRNA from 1 species
GCCUGGGUGGCUCAGUUGGUUAAGUGUCCAACUUCAACUCGGGUCACGAUCUCACAAUUCGUGGGUUCGAACCCCGCAUUGGGCU